ACGAACGCUGGCGGCGUGCUUAACACAUGCAAGUCGAACGGAAAGGCCCUGCUUUUGUGGGGUGCUCGAGUGGUGAACGGGUGAGUAACACGUGAGUAACCUGCCCUUGACUUUGGGAUAACUUCAGGAAACUGGGGCUAAUACCGGAUAGGGGCUCCUGCUGCAUGGUGGGGGUUGGAAAGUUUCGGCGGUUGGGGAUGGACUCGCGGCUUAUCAGCUUGUUGGUGGGGUAGUGGCUUACCAAGGCUUUGACGGGUAGCCGGCCUGAGAGGGUGACCGGCCACAUUGGGACUGAGAUACGGCCCAGACUCCUACGGGAGGCAGCAGUGGGGAAUAUUGCACAAUGGGCGGAAGCCUGAUGCAGCAACGCCGCGUGCGGGAUGACGGCCUUCGGGUUGUAAACCGCUUUCGCCUGUGACGAAGCGUGAGUGACGGUAAUGGGUAAAGAAGCACCGGCUAACUACGUG
rnacentral:rRNA from 1 species